rnacentral:lncRNA from 1 species
GUACAUUAGGCUCGUCGGUUUGGAGAACUCUUAAAAAAUAAAAAAAGCAUCUUUGAAGGUGUGAUAGCCUUGUUAAUAUAACGUGUUUAACUUACAUUGCCCAUACAGGGAAAAUAAAGCGAGACAGAGAGUUCACCAUCUCCAUCAACGUCAGAAUUGUGUAAGCGACCAAUGCCUCGACAAAGGUAUCCUCGUCUGGGGGAGUGACCGCACUAUAUUUCGCGAUUCCGAACUUCAAGCAUAGUUUGAAAAAGAACCAGGGACAAAUAGUGCGCAAAUGACAUAUCAGGAAAAUGUCUCGAUCUGGCAGCUAUUGAACGGUGUCAAGAUUCAUCAUCAUCCCCUAGCAUUAUCCCGGGGCGCCUGCCAGCCAGGAUGAUGCGCCUAGAAGAGGUCACACCAUCACAGUUGUUAACUGAGUACCUAAAAAUCCUGUCGUCGAGUCCAAAGGUAAUUGGAGCUAUCAACGUCCAGUGGAGGUGCAGUGAGGUGGCGACGGUCCGUGAACUGACUGAUACAUGCUCUAGGGUGGAAUGGUCUGCCAAUAUUAAGAUCUAAGCGGCAUGACAAGAGGUCCAGGUCAGGGUAUUCGAUGAAUGCACGUGAUAAUACUGGAAUUAGAGCGUUUUCCAUCUUCCUUUUUGAUGCGAACUGCAAAGGACUGGAACUGUCUGCUGUCGUCUUUUUUCCGACUCGUUAUAAUCUAGGAGUCUUUAAGGCUAGAGGGAAUAGGCAUUUGCUAGGUAAGCGUGAUCCACCCUAGACCACAUCGUCACUUAACAUCAGGUGAGAUUGUGGCCAAACGCGAGCCUAUUACAUUAAAAAAAAAUCGACGUGCCGCAGCGUUCUUUUUGAGAUCUCGACGCUCUCCAUACACAAGUUACACAUACAUACAUAAACUCACGCCUAUUUCCCACCGGGGUAAGCAGAGACUAUAGAAUUCCAUUUGCUUCGAUCCUGACACACUUCUCUUGCUUCCUCCACAUUCAUCAAUCGCUUCAUACACGCACGCCGGUUCAGAGUAGAUCGUAUUGAACCUUUUCUAAGGACACACAUUACAUACAUACAUAAACUCACGCCCAUUUCCCACCGGGGUAAAGGAAAAGAAAAAAGAAGAAGAAAAAUGGGGGAAGGGGGAGAAAUGUGCCUCGUCGCGCUGGUGGUCGUCGGGAGCAUACGGACACAUUCAGGGUGCCGUGGUGUGGGACUAAUCUUGCCAGUAAACAUUUUCUCCCAAGACUGCUCAGAAUGUAUAACCAAUGUUGGAAGGAGUAUGAUCUUGACAUAUUUCAUAACAGUUUGCUUAAAUUCAAGAAACUUAUUGUGCAAUCAUCUAGUCAUGACCGUUAGUUUAACAGUUUUUUUUUUCUUGUACCUAUUCUUCUUUUUUUUUUGUUGUUGUAGUGUUGCCUGGCUGUAACUAUUCAUACCUUUUGUUAUUCCGUUAAUUUUUUAUUAUUUUUUUUUUUUUUAAACAAAUUCUACAUACAUGUUAAUUACAUAAGUUGUGCACGUCUGUAAUUGGUGCAAACACUAGUACUAGCCUUAAGAAAGUUUUAUUAAUUGUUGUGUGUUUGUACUGUUGAUGUGCCUAAUAAAUAAAUAAAAUAAAAAAUGUGUCAGGAUCGAAGCAAAUGGAA